rnacentral:rRNA from 1 species
AACGAACGCUGGCGGCAGGCUUAACACAUGCAAGUCGAGCGCCCCGCAAGGGGAGCGGCAGACGGGUGAGUAACGCGUGGGAAUCUACCCAUCUCUACGGAAUAACGCAUGGAAACGUGUGCUAAUACCGUAUACGUCCUUCGGGAGAAAGAUUUAUCGGAGAUGGAUGAGCCCGCGCUGGAUUAGCUAGUUGGUGGGGUAAAGGCCUACCAAGGCGACGAUCCAUAGCUGGUCUGAGCGGAUGAUCAGCCACACUGGGACUGAGACACGGCACAGACUCCUAGGGGAGGCAGCAGUGGGGAAUAUUGGACCAUGCGCGCAAGCCUGAUCCAGCCAUGCCGCGUGAGUGAUGAAGGCCCUAGGGUUGUAAAGCUCUUUCACCGGUGAAGAUAAUGACGGUAACCGGAGAAGAAGCCCCGGCUAACUUCGUGCCAGCCGCCGCCGUAAUAC